GGCGACACCAUGUUGAAAUACCGGUUCUCAUACGAUCCCCGAACUUAAGCAACCCCGAGCCUGUCAAGACCUAGAUGGGUUACCGCUUGGCAAUACCAGGUGUUGUGG